CGGAGGGAGCUAGCGUUGUUCGGAAUUACUGGGCGUAAAGCGCACGUAGGCGGCUACUCAAGUCGGGGGUGAAAGCCCGGGGCUCAACCCCGGAACUGCCCUCGAAACUAGGUAGCUAGAAUCUUGGAGAGGUCAGUGGAAUUCCGAGUGUAGAGGUGAAAUUCGUAGAUAUUCGGAAGAACACCAGUGGCGAAGGCGACUGACUGGACAAGUAUUGACGCUGAGGUGCGAAAGCGUGGGGAGCAA
rnacentral:rRNA from 1 species